rnacentral:lncRNA from 1 species
GAGCCCUUCGUGCUUCCAAGUCGUUUUCGAUGUUGUGACUUUCGAAUCGACGAUCGGCUCCGUUAGACUUGAUCUAGAGUAUUUGAAGUACCUAGAAAAUAAAUUUUGUAAUUUUUCGAUAUUAUUUGCUUAGUGUUCGAAUGGCUUAAAAUCAACGACUGAAAAUAAAAAUCUUACAAAAUGUGACGAUACGACAUUAAAAUUUUAGAUCAAAGAUAUUGAUCUUCUUUUAUAUAUUAUAAAGAAUUUUGUAUUAAAAUUUCACGUGAUUCAGAUAUUUCUACACCGUUAAACUUACAAAUGGCUCACCACGGCCAUUAAAAUUAUUAAUUUGAACCCAUUCGAUCACUAGGCAAAUGAUAUCGAAAAAUCAAAAAGAUUAUUUUCUAGAUAUUUCAAAUACUCUAAAUCAAGUCUAACGGAGCUGAUCGUCGAUUCGAAAGUCCCAACAUCGAAAACGACUUGAAAGCAUGAAGUGCUCGUACUUCCAGAAACAUACCAGCUCCUCUCUCUCUCUCUCUCUCCCUAUAUAUAUAUAUAUAUAUAUACAAA